rnacentral:rRNA from 1 species
ACGGGUGAGUAACGCGUGGGAACGUACCCUUUACUACGGAAUAACGCAGGGAAACUUGUGCUAAUACCGUAUGUGCCCUUUUGGGGAAAGAUUUAUCGGUAAGGGAUCGGCCCGCGUUGGAUUAGCUAGUUGGUGGGGUAAAGGCCUACCAAGGCGACGAUCCAUAGCUGGUCUGAGAGGAUGAUCAGCCACAUUGGGACUGAGACACGGCCCAAACUCCUACGGGAGGCAGCAGUGGGGAAUAUUGGACAAUGGGCGCAAGCCUGAUCCAGCCAUGCCGCGUGAGUGAUGAAGGCCCUAGGGUUGUAAAGCUCUUUCACCGGAGAAGAUAAUGACGGUAUCCGGAGAAGAAGCCCCGGCUAACUUCGUGCCAGCAGCCGCGGUAAUACGAAGGGGGCUAGCGUUGUUCGGGAUUACUGGGCGUAAAGCGCACGUAGGCGGACAUUUAAGUCAGGGGUGAAAUCCCAGAGCUCAACUCUGGAACUGCCUUUGAUACUGGGUGUCUUGAGUAUGGAAGAGGUGAGUGGAAUUCCGAGUGUAGAGGUGAAAUUCGUAGA